AGAUAUUCUGUUAAAUUACAAGCAAAGAGUAUAAUGGAUACACUGAGAGAAAGUUCCAUAUUUAUUCAGAGAAAAAUUAUAGCUCCUGGGAUGUGAUACAAUUUCAAGUUACAGAUUGGCCUACAGAUGGAAUUGUUAGAGAGCCGCAUACUAUCCUACAAGUUAUUGAUGAUGUUAUACACAGACAACAAAAGAUUGGAGGAGGACCAGUAGUGGUACACUGUAGUGAUACAGUGAGUCGUUCAGGAGUCUAUUGCUCAGUGAGUAUUGCUCUAGAACAGUGUAAAGCAGAAGGUGUAGUGGAUGUGUUUCAAGUGACCAAAGCUAUAAGAAGGAGUAAACCAGGAGCUGUUACUACACUGGAGCAGUAUACUUCCAUAUAUGAUGUGAUUGAUAUGUACUUCAAACUGCAUAGCACAUAUGCUAACUUUUAGUAGAUAUAGCAGACUAUUAUUGUCUAUAAUGUACCAUGAUUGCUGACAUUAUAAACGUAUUUGUAGAAAUUAUUGUUAUCAUAUGUUAUGUUUGCAGUAUUUGUAUAUGCCAAACAGUUAACAGUUGUUAUUGUAUUUAAAAGUA